UACGUAGGGGGCAAGCGUUGUCCGGAUUUACUGGGCGUAAAGAGCGUGUAGGCGGCCAGGCAGGUCUGUUGUGAAAACUGGAGGCUCAACUUCCAGACGUCGACAGAAACCGCUUGGCUAGAGUCCGGAAGAGGAGAGUGGAAUUCCUGGUGUAGCGGUGAAAUGCGUAGAUAUCGAGAGGAACACCUGCGGCGAAGGCGGGUUGCUGGGCUGACACUGACGCUGAAGCGCGAAAGCUAGGGGAGCGAACGGG
rnacentral:rRNA from 1 species